GACGAACGCUGGCGGCGUGCUUAACACAUGCAAGUCGAACGGAAAGGCCCUGCUUUUGUGGGGUGCUCGAGUGGCGAACGGGUGAGUAACACGUGAGUAACCUGCCCUUGACUUUGGGAUAACUUCAGGAAACUGGGGCUAAUACCGGAUAGGAGCUCCUGCUGCAUGGUGGGGGUUGGAAAGUUUCGGCGGUUGGGGAUGGACUCGCGGCUUAUCAGCUUGUUGGUGGGGUAGUGGCUUACCAAGGCUUUGACGGGUAGCCGGCCUGAGAGGGUGACCGGCCACAUUGGGACUGAGAUACGGCCCAGACUCCUACGUGAGGCAGCAGUGGGGAAUAUUGCACAAUGGGCGGAAGCCUGAUGCAGCAACGCCGCGUGCGGGAUGACGGCCUUCGGGUUGUAAACCGCUUUCGCCUGAGACGAAGCGUGAGUGACGGUAAUGGGUAAAGAAGCACCGGCUAACUACGUG
rnacentral:rRNA from 1 species